rnacentral:lncRNA from 1 species
AGUGACUGCAAGGACAACGUUGCUCUCCCGCCUUCCGCGCUCACUGACAUCUAAACCCUUAAAUGACUCCUGCGUUAGGCAGCAACUGCUUCCUGCUUUAUCUGAAGUCCUAGAGCAGCAACUUGAAUUCUCCAGGCUAAACCUCCACUUCCAAAGCUAAAUAACAGAAAAAGAGAAUUUUAAACCCAAUGAUCUGCAAAAUACAUAUACCCGACAUUCCCCAUUUGGAGUCUGUGCGACAUUUCAGAGUGUGUGUGUACAAAUCUGGUUCCACUUUUCUUGUCCCAAACAUCCCCCAUUCACAGCCUUAAAUGUCCCAAUUAAUAACACACCAUUAUCACCAUCCAGGUUCCCCAAGGUUCAUCCUAGUACCUUCUUAAUUUCUUUCUCCUCUAUGCAGCAAAGUUUGGUACAACCUUCUACCUCAACUUUCAAAGUUCUAAUAGAUGUGUAUUCCAGUCCCUACCACCUUUCCUACAGUGAUCAUGGUCGAAAGCACUAAAACCCU